AUUUCUUUGUAUUUUUGCAAUAAAAAAAAAAAAAAAAAAAAAAUCUGUUCUUAUCAGUUUAAUAUCUGAUACGUCCCCCAUCGGGGGACCACAUAUUAAACGGAUUUUUGGAACAGGGAGCUGGAUCAGGAGCUUGCUC
rnacentral:snRNA from 1 species